AAUGAACGUUGGCGGCGUGGAUUAGGCAUGCAAGUCGUACGAGAAGUCUUGGAUUGAAGCUUCGGCUGAUUUCCAGGAUGGAAAGCGGCGCAAGGGAGAGUAACGCGUGGAUAUUUACCCUAAGGACCGGGAUAGCUGCGGGAAACUGCCAGUAAUACCGGAUAACAUCUCCGGAUCAAAGGUGUGAUUCCGCCUGAGGAGAAGUCCGCGUCCUAUUAGCUUGUUGGUGAGGUAAUGGCUUACCAAGGCUGAGAUGGGUACCGGGUGUGAGAGCAUGGCCCGGCUCACUGGGACUGAGACACUGCCCAGACACCUACGGGUGGCUGCAGUCGAGAAUCUUCCGCAAUGGGCGCAAGCCUGACGGAGCGACGCCGCGUGCGGGAUGAAGGCCUUCGGGUUGUAAACCGCUGUCAGUGGGGAGCAAAUCUUUGGGGGUUAUCCCUCAAAGUGAACUAUCCUCAGAGGAAGGACGGGCUAAGUUCGUGCCAGCAGCCGCGGUAAGACGAACCGUCCAAACGUUAUUCGGAAUCACUGGGCUUAAAGGGUGCGUAGGCGGCUCGGCAAGUUGGGUGUGAAAUCCCUCGGCUCAACCGAGGAAUUGCGCCCAAUACUGCCGGACUAGAGGGAGAUAGAGGUGAGCGGAACUUAGGGUGGAGCGGUGAAAUGCGUUGAUAUCCUAAGGAACGCCCGUGGCGAAAGCGGCUCACUGGAUCUCUUCUGACGCUGAGGCACGAAAGCUAGGGUAGCGAACGGGAUUAGAUACCCCGGUAGUCCUAGCUGUAAACGAUGAGCACUUGGUUGGAGGAACCUCCAAAUUUUUCCGACCGUAGCGAAAGUGUUAAGUGCUCCGCCUGGGGAGUAUGGUCGCAAGGCUGAAACUCAAAGGAAUUGACGGGGGCUCACACAAGCGGUGGAGGAUGUGGCUUAAUUCGAGGCUACGCGAAGAACCUUAUCCUGGUCUUGACAUGCACGGAUGGCACGCCUGAAAGGGAUGUGUCCUGCCUUCGGGUGAAACGUGCACAGGUGCUGCAUGGCUGUCGUCAGCUCGUGUCGUGAGAUGUCGGGUUAAGUCCCUUAACGAGCGAAACCCUUAUCCCUAGUUGCCAGCGAGUCAUGUCGGGGACUCUAGGGAGACUGCCGGUGUUAAACCGGAGGAAGGUGGGGAUGACGUCAAGUCCUCAUGGCCUUUAUGGCCAGGGCUGCACACGUCCUACAAUGGCACGCACAAAGGGAAGCAAACUCGCGAGAGCAAGCAAAUCCCAGAAAACGUGCCUCAGUUCGGAUUGCAGGCUGCAACUCGCCUGCAUGAAGGUGGAAUCGCUAGUAAUCGUGGGUCAGCAUACCACGGUGAAUAUGUUCCUGAGCCUUGUACACACCGCCCGUCAAGCCACGAAAGUGGGGGGCCGCCGAAGUCGCCGAGCUAACCUUCGGGAAGCAGGCGCCUAAGCGGAACUCCGCGAUUGGGACU
rnacentral:rRNA from 1 species